rnacentral:rRNA from 1 species
GUCUAAGUUGAGUGGCGAACGGGUGAGUAACACGUGGGUGACCUACCCUCGAGUGGGGGAUAACGUCCCGAAAGGGACGCUAAUACCGCAUAACAUCCUGCCUUUGAACAGGUGGAGAUCAAAGCCGGGGAUCGCAAGACCUGGCGCUUGAUGAGGGGCCCGCGCCUGAUUAGCUAGUUGGUGAGGUAACGGCUCACCAAGGCGACGAUCAGUAUCCGGCCUGAGAGGGCGGACGGACACACUGGGACUGAGACACGGCCCAGACUCCUACGGGAGGCAGCAGUGGGGAGUUGUUCGCAAUGGGCGCAAGCCUGACGACGCAACGCCGCGUGGAGGAUGAAGGUCUUCGGAUUGUAAACUCCUGUUGCUCGGGACGAACAGCUCCGACCUAAUACGUCGGAGUCUGACGGUACCGAGUGAGGAAGCCCCGGCUAACUCUGUGCCAGCAGCCGCGGUAAUACAGAGGGGGCAAGCGUUGUUCGGAAUUACUGGGCGUAAAGGGCGCGUAGGCGGCCUGCUAAGUCGAACGUGAAAUCCCUGGGCUCAACCCAGGAACUGCGUCCGAUACUGGUUGGCUUGAAUCCGGGAGAGGGAUGUGGAAUUCCAGGUGUAGCGGUGAAAUGCGUAGAUAUCUGGAGGAACACCGGUGGCGAAGGCGACAUCCUGGACCGGCAUUGACGCUGAGGCGCGAAAGCCAGGGGAGCAAACGGGAUUAGAUACCCCGGUAGUCCUGGCCCUAAACGAUGAAUGCUUGGUGUGGCGGGUAUCGAUCCCUGCCGUGCCGAAGCUAACGCAUUAAGCAUUCCGCCUGGGGAGUACGGUCGCAAGGCUUAAACUC